UACGUAGGGGGCUAGCGUUGUCCGGAAUCAUUGGGCGUAAAGCGCGUGUAGGCGGUCCGGUAAGUCCGCUGUGAAAGUCGGGGGCUCAACCCUCGAAUGCCGGUGGAUACUGUCGGGCUAGAGUGCGGAAGAGGCGAGUGGAAUUCCUGGUGUAGCGGUGAAAUGCGCAGAUAUCAGGAGGAACACCAAGUGCGAAGGCAGCUCGCUGGGACGUUACUGACGCUGAGGAGCGAAAGCGUGGGGAGCGAACAGG
rnacentral:rRNA from 1 species